GCUUCUGUAUUUCAAUGGAUAGAAUACGGCCCUCCGAAGGCUGAGAUUGCAGUUCGACUCUGCACAGAAGCG
rnacentral:tRNA from 1 species